UACACUUAAUGCUCAGUAAAUGUAAGUCACAAUUCAUAAAAUAAAUUAGAACCACUAUCACAAUUCUCUUUGAAUACGACUAUUACCAUCCAACCGUCUAUUUCAACUUCAAGCGGACUUUGAAGGGUUACAAGGCACUACAGCAAAUGUAAACACAAAGCUUACGAUUUCUACAAAUUCAACUAUAUUCUAAGAGGCGAAAGAAGUAUGAAAAUGAGAUACCAGAUGAAUUAGAUAAUAAGAACUGGAAGGAAGGAAAAAGUGUAAAACCUUAUAGAAAGAUUAAAAGGCCCUAGAAUAAUAUAUGGCUUAGUUUUCGACAGCAGCAGCACCACGCAAAAGACCUGUUCUGCGGGCGGCAAUAAGACCGACCUUUUGACCAGGAGCAGAUUGACGAGGAACAGUGGUAGAAUGACCAACGUGUUGAUGGUUACCACCACCAUGAGGGUGAUCAACAGGAUUCAUAGCGACACCACGAGUACGAGGCCAGCAGUUGCGUUUGACACGGUACUUGUGGAAUGCACGUCCAGCCUUGAGUAAAGGCUUAUCAAUACGUCCACCACCAGCAACAAUACCGACAACACCACGGGCAGAAGAAGGGACAACCUUCUUAGCACCAGAGGGCAACUUGACACGGGUCUUGCCAGUGUCAACAUCAUGACCGACAAUGAUAACAUAGUUACCCGAAGAACGACCCAAUGCACCACGGUCACCAGCCUUUUCCUCAACGUUUGAAAUGAUGGUACCCUCAGGCAUUUCACCAACAGGCAGCACAUUACCAACAGUCAAAGCAGCGUUCUUACCGCAGUAGACAAAUUGGCCCGUGUACAUACCCUCAGUUGCAACAAAGGUCUCAACAUCGGUUCUGUAAUGAUAAGGGUUACGAAAGGCAACCUUAGCCAAAGGAGCGCCACGACCAGGAUCAUGAAUGAUCUUUUGGACGACACCACGAAUAUAACCAUGGCGUUCAGCAAAGUCCAAAGUACGGAGCUGAGCAGCACCCUUACGAAGACGGGUAUGAGCUUGGAAAAUUCCACCACUCUUUCUUUGAGCUCUAAUAACACGUCCCAUGGUUGUUAGAUGGCGAUAGAAAACUUCCUAACGGACCUUCAACAGUAUGUUUGGAUGAUAAACAGUGUACAUGUGACUGCUUUAACGACCAGGGUAGGGUUACUGAAACAUUCGAAAACAAUAUCCCUGUUGAUUUAUUGCAAACUCCAAAUAUAUCGGAAUAAAGAGGUGACAGAGCAAUUGAAAAUAAUUGCAAUAUUUUGAUAUAUUGUUGAGUUUAUUCGUUUAAAUGCAAUUUUAUGCUAUCUAUACUAAACUAUAGUAAUAGAAGGUUAAGAACUUAAUUAUUACGAGGAAAAUCAGACUGAGGAACGAAUUUACGUUUCUAAACAAAUUUUACAAACUUGAGAAAUUGCAACAAUAACAGAGUAUACAGAACGAUAUUGUAGUUACGAAAACAUUUGAAUCUUAUGAAUAUGAAUUAGUUAAGAAAAUAUAUUUUUUUUUCAGCCGAUAUGAGCAUGUACCAUUCUGUUGAAGUUGAGAAGUUUUCUUGGUAAACUAACUUUGGAAAGAGAGUGAGUACACCGAAAUUUUCUUUUUUUCUUUCAAUAAAAAAACACAAAUUUUCGCAUCGUUUAUGUUUGACCCAUAAAUCUUAAA
rnacentral:lncRNA from 1 species